AGAUGAUCCAUCUGGAGCAGAAAACCUCAGGGGCAUUUGGGAAAUAGAGAGGCAUAGGGAAGGCUGGGGACAAGGACAAGACAGGAGGAGCUGUGUCUCCUCUGAGGCUCCAGCUCCCGCCUGCCUGGCCCACCAUGGCCCCACCUUCUGCAAAGCAACCCCUGAGCUUGGAUGAGCCAAGAAGCUCCUGUUGAUGACUUCCCAGGGCUGAAUUAGCACUACCCUCUGCUCCAGUGGGGAGAGAGAGAUGCCCCAGAAGGAAACGAGCUUUGCCUGGCAGUCCACCCUGGGCUCUCUCGUGGUGGAGUGGAGGAGGUGGGUUUGGCAAAGGAGUAGAUGCUGUAGAAAAAGCAAACAGAUGGGAAACAUGCAGUGAAGAAGGCAUUCUGACAUCUGAAUUUUCCACACUCCAGGAAUGUCAGUGUUUAUAAAUUCCUUCCCCUGGCCUACAUAAAAAGACUCUUCUGUUUUGAACAUGUUAGGUAAUUAGGAGCCUGGAAGGAUAAAACCCCAGGAAGCCUAGUAGGGUACAUUAGGGGACCAGCUUGCUGUAUGGCUGUUGUUUUUCCUCUUUCUAUAAAAGAGUAGGAAAGAAUAAAUGAGUUUCUCCUAUGGGCCAGAAUUAGAAAAAUCUCAUAUGUCUUUGUAGCACCACUGUCUCUACUGCCACUGACACAUAGUAGAUGCCUCGCAAAUAAAUGUGUAUGGAUGAAGAAAGAAAUGAAAUAACCUUG